CCUACGGGAGGCAGCAGUGAGGAAUAUUGGUCAAUGGUCGGACGCCUGAACCAGCCAAGUCGCGUGAGGGAAUACGGCCCUACGGGUUGUAAACCUCUUUUGCCGGGGAGCAAGUUCCGCCACGUGUGCCGGACUCGAGAGUACCCGAAGAAAAAGCAUCGGCUAACUCCGUGCCAGCGGCCGCGGUAAUACGGAGGAUUCAAGCGUUAGCCGGAUUUAUUGGGUUUAAAGGGUGCGUAGGCGGUUCGUUUAGUUAGGGGUGAAAGUCCUGGGCUCAACUCCCGCACUGCCGUUGAAACUGUGGGGCUAGAGUGAAGGAGAGGAAGGCGGAAUGCAUGGUGUAGCGGUGAAAUGCAUAGAGAUCAUGCAGAACACCGAUUGCGAAGGCAGCCUGCCGGACUACGACUGACGUUGAGGCACGAAAGCGUGGGGAGCAAACAGGAUUAGAUACCCGUGUAGUC
rnacentral:rRNA from 1 species